CCAGCACAGGAAACAUUACAUCAGCUCCAGUCUCCAACUCCAUCAGCCUGACUUCCUCAUUAAUACCACAUUUCAUGGUUGACCAUGCAUCUGACAACUUCAUGGGCUCCAGUGAAGCCACAUUUCUUGUUCCAAGAUGUUGACAUGCAAUGGCAACAUAGCACAGUGGAGACUAUGUGUGAUUCUGGAGAUAACUGAGCACUACCCAGCUGUGUGCUGAAGGAGGCAAGGAGACCACUGGAAAAUGUCAUUCAGUAAUGUGGUUGGAUGUGAUGGCCCUUGUGUUUGCAUUUCUAAACUUUAGAAAUCUUGACUUAAUAUGUUUCCCGUCUGCAGUU